GGCUCCGGCGGAGCGGCAGGAGACGGGGAUUGAGGCUGUGAGACCAGACAAGCCCGAGUGACUCCGGAACCGCCUUCACGAUACAGCAUGGCCUGCUAUGGAUUUCCAGGAAUCAGAACAUCACAGGAAUGAACUCAAGAUCUAUUUUGUCCUCCCACUCAUCUGCUGAUUUCUUGCUCUUUUCCACGACAUUUGCUUGAUCGCUGCCUCUUUUGACUAUGGAGCCUCCUUAAAUUUAUCAUUGAUUUCCUAAAAAGAAAACGUGGCAUGAUUUUAACAUUUCUACUUCCUCCCUGUUUAUCACGCUCUUUUUGAAGUAUUUGUAUGAGUAUUCACUGUAUUUUCUCUGCAUUUUUAAAAACUUUCUUGUUAACAUUCAGAAAAAAGCCCAUCUUUAAAACUUAAAAUUAUAAAGUUGCAACAGCAAUUCAGACUACAGAGGUGAACUUAGAAUUGCUUAUCUACAUGCUACUGGUGUGGUUUCUCUUCUAUAGCCUAUGAAGUGAUGGGAACCAAUUUCCAAAUAGCUUUAGUUCACUGUGCACUACAUAUCCCAAUGGCAACUAACAUGAAAAACAGUGAAUAAACCUCAUCAUUGUUGUGUUGUUUCCAGCCUGGAAGCAUACAACAUUUUCUUGGCACUUACGGUGUGGUUGUACAUUUUUUUUGGGAGAGACACAAUGUGAAAAGAUUACUUCUGCUGCUAGACUUCUUUUUGAUAAAAUGAGAAUCCCUGUAACUGGAUUUUCUCAGAACAAACAUGCUUGCAGUUCUUCUGAAUGCUGCCAGCACAAAUAGCUCAGCACCAGUGAGUUUGGCACAUUAACACUGUGAAUCUACAGAAGGGCUGGUUCAGCGAUUACCACACAGGACCUCUUCACAAGAUAGCAGUUUGGAAUUCUUUAUUAGAGGUUCUGCUGAUGGACAACUGAGCUACAUGCCUGGAAGUUGAAUACAUUUUAAGUGAGAGAGAGUUAUCAGGAAAGCUAGCUUGUUGCCAACAAUAAGAAGAUUAAAAAUUCAGUAAUAAAAAGUCCAUGGAAUGUCUUGCAAGAGCUACUCGAAUGACCCAAUUAUAUGCAUUCACAAUUUCAGCAGGGAUAUCCCCUGCCAGGAUUGCUAAGGGAGUAUAUGACACAUUACCACCUUACAAUGACACAGUCCAUCUAGGAUCUUCCAGUGCAUCAUUUGACUGGUGAUAUCUCCCUGCCAUGGAACCAUAGAAUCAUACAACAUAGCAGGAGGUCAUUCGGUCCAUCUUGCCUGUGCCAACUCUUUGAAACAGUUUUCUAAUUAGUCCCCAUCCCUUGCAAGCAUUUCUUUAUCAAAUGUAUGUCCAAUUUACUUCUGAAUAUUAGCAUUGAAUGUCUUUCCACCACUCCUGUCAGAAAGUGCAUUUCAGACCACACAAGGUGAUAUACUGACUGGGGGUGCACUAUAUACCUUAUAUCAGACUGUGUGCUGUCAAUGUCAAGACAAAGACAGCUACUGGCUGCCUGUGUAUGUGUAGUUAGCAGCAAUGACAUUACAGCACUGCAACAGAGCCUUCUGUUUGGCUUUCCGAAGUAUCCUUGCCUCGCUGUUGUGGUAGCCAAACUCUGCCCACUCCGUCUCUUGCCCGCUGUGGGUGUACCAGUCCCUCCCCUGGCAAUGCAGGCAGCAUCCCUCAGAGUCAACUCAUAUUACCACCAUCCACCACCACGGAAAGGAACUGCGGCCUGCAGUCCCUUUUCCAACUACUAAAUUCAAGUUCACAGUUAAAACACACAACACGAUGAAAGGAUGAAAAGUUACAUUCCUACUAAACAAAGACAAAGUAAAUCAGAUAUAAUUCAGCAGACUAUGCGCCAGUUCUUCAGCUACGCACAAGUAGAGAAAGUUGAGGUAGUAAUGAUGUACUGAAAUAUUCGGUAAUUAUGCUUUGUAAAUGUAAUUGGCAUGAGCAGGGAAAGAGAAUUCUACUCACUAUUGAUUUUUAUUGCCUACUCCAAACACUAAUAUGCUGGGUGUGAUAACAUGAUUGAGCAUGUUGCUACACAGGUUAGUUACUUGCUAUGU